CUCCUUUUCAGGUGUAAGCUUAAAAGAAUAUUUUUGAUCAGUGACAUUAAGCUGCAUUCCACUGAAGAAUAUAAAAUCCAACCCCAGGACUACAGCAUAGGCGAGGGCUUGUGACGACAGAACAGUAGCAGGUAGAGAGGACCACUGGACCAUGGAUGGAGCUGAUCGGGUGAUGUGAGCUGUCUCAUGAGACUUUCAUGAAUAAGUGUGUAGCUUGCACCAGUAUCCACGAUGGCUUUUCCAGUCCAGGCAGCAAUAUUGAUGGGAACAACCAACUGCUGGGGUACUGUCAUUGUUGCAUUAGGGUUUGUGUAGGCUUUCUUGGUGGUAGAUAGAGGCUUCUGCAUUCUUGUAGCAGUCACAGAGUUGUUAGAAGACUGACCCCUUGUCUGAGGAGAUGAAUAGGGAUGUUUGCUGCUGGUAAAUUGGUGUGCAGUUGACUGAGGGGACGGUGGAGGGUUAUAGUGUGGACACUUGCCUGGCGGAUGCUGUCCUCUGCAUCUCCAACAUUGAACUGGGAUUUUCUCAGCAGUUGGUGUCCCAACUUGACCAGUUCCUCCACAGUACACACUCGACUACGCAACUGGCUGGCAAGCCAGUUCAUCCUCAUAAUCUUCAGAUAGGAACGCAGAAAGGAAUGCAGCCUCAAACUCACUCCACGUGGAUAUGCUGGAACGUCUGACCUCCCACCAGUCACGGCGGUUCCAUGUAGGACAGUACGGAAUGUGGCCAGGACAUCCGCAUCAGUGAGGGGAUGAAGAG